AGGCAAUCAAUCACAAUACCAAACACUCAUUUACAAACACAAAGGGUUUAAAUACAACACUGGACUUUCUACAAAAUAGACCAGCUCGACAAAAUGGGAACUAUCCUACAACCAACUAGCAGGACACGCUCUCCAACCCUUAUGACUUCACCUCUGCAACUCCUUAAGGCCAACCAAAGCUAUCUGGCCACUCCGUCCACCGGGGACCUAAAAUUUUAAUCCCACAACCGGGAUGAGACGAUGUCUCAGCAAGUUCAACCCCCUACCCCUAUUAGAAAGAAAAUACACCCCGGGUGGCCUAGCCACAUCACAUAGAAGACUUACCUCGCCUCAGCCUUCAUCUGCAGGUUAGCGCAAUUUAUAUAAUUCAACCACGUACAAUUAUGAUAACCAAACAACCAUGGCUCAAUCACAUUAUCAAAACAAUUCAACCACUUGGAUCGUCUCAGCGAUCAAUCGACUCGGCCGAUUACAUGUCAUUCCAACAAAUCAAUCAUUGCUCACAAUCACGGCCCUACUCGGCAAAAUUAGAAUCAGUGGCAUCACGGCCCCACUCGGCGCGACCUUUAACAGGUGGCAAUUCACGGCCCCAUUGGGCGCGACCUCUAAUAGGUGGCAUAUCACGGCCUCAUCGGGCACGACCUCUAAUAGGUGAUAUUUCACGGCCUCAUCGGGCACGACCUCUAAUAGGUGGUUUAUCACGGCCUCACUGGGCACGACCUCUCAUAGGUGGUUUAUCACGGCCUCACUGGGCACGACCUCUCAUAGGUGGUAUUUCACGACCUCAUCGGGCACGACCUCUAAUAGGUGGUUUAUCACGGCCUCACUGGGCACGACCUCUCAUAGGUGGUUUAUCACGGCCUCACUGGGCACAACCUCUAAUAGGUGGUCAAUCACGGCCAAUCUCCCAUCAAUUUCUACACUUAGGAUUUCAUAAAGAAUCCCUAUAUAUCGCAAUCACACUCAAUUUGCCAUAACCAAUCAUCAAUAUCAAAUUCUAAAUGCAUAGCAGCGAUCGGAACGAAAUUCUGAGAGUUUAGGGUCCUGACAAAAUUUUCUGAAUUUAUUAAAUAAUUAAAUUUAUUCCGAAAAUAAUUAAAUAAUAAUAUUCAUAUUUUUCACGAUCCACACUCAAUUUAUAAUAUCCAAUCAUCAAUUUCAAAAUCCAACUGCACAGCAGCGAUCGGCACGAAAUUCUGAGCAACCGGGAUCAAAAAUAAUUUUUCCGUUUUUUUUUUCAAAUAAUAAUAUUUUAAUAAUUUCGGAAUUAAUAUAAUAUUAUAAAUUUCCAGAAUUUCGAAGCAAUUAAAUAAUUCAAAAUUAAAACCCCAUUAUGUCACAUCAAGGCUUUAUAUUAAAAACAAACAUACUUAACUUUAAACUAAACACACUUUAACUUAAUUAAACACCAUAAUCCAAUCAUCAACCAAAUAAACUAAUUUAACCAACUAAGCUUACUUAACUUAGGCUAAGCACACUUAGGGCAUCAUUAACCGUCUAAUCAAGGUUUAGUGAGUUAAACUCACCGGAUUAGCGAGCCGAGCGGACCAAAACGACGAGGGCGACGCGAGGAUCGACUUUCCUCAAAGCGGGCCG
rnacentral:lncRNA from 1 species